rnacentral:rRNA from 1 species
GACGAACGCUGGCGGCGUGCUUAACACAUGCAAGUCGAACGGAAAGGCCCUGCUUUUGUGGGGUGCUCGAGUGGCGAACGGGUGAGUAACACGUGAGUAACCUGCCCUUGACUUUUGGAUAACUUCAGGAAACUUGGGCUAAUACCGGAUAGGAGCUCCUGCUGCAUGGUGGGGGUUGGAAAGUUUCGGCGGUUGGGGAUGGACUCGCGGCUUAUCAGCUUGUUGGUGGGGUAGUGGCUUACCAAGGCUUUGACGGGUAGCCGGCCUGAGAGGGUGACCGGCCACAUUGGGACUGAGAUACGGCCCAGACUCCUACGGGAGGCAGCAGUGGGGAAUAUUGCACAAUGGGCGGAAGCCUGAUGCAGCAACGCCGCGUGCGGGAUGACGGCCUUCGGGUUGUAAACCGCUUUCGCCUGUGACGAAGCGUGAGUGACGGUAAUGGGUAAAGAAGCACCGGCUAACUACGUG